GCAGGCUAACACAUGCAAGUCGAGCGGUAACAGGAAUUAGCUUGCUAAUUUGCUGACGAGCGGCGGACGGGUGAGUAAUGCCUGGGAAUAUGCCUUAGUGUGGGGGAUAACUAUUGGAAACGAUAGCUAAUACCGCAUAACCGUCUYMGGACCAAAGAGGGGGACUUCGGGCCUCUCGCGCUUAAGAUUAGCCCARGUGGGAUUAGCUAGUUGGUGAGGUAAAGGCUCACCAAGGCAACGAUCCCUAGCUGGUCUGAGAGGAUGAUCAGCCACACUGGAACUGAGACACGGUCCAGACUCCUACGGGAGGCAGCAGUGGGGAAUAUUGCACAAUGGGGRAAMCCUGAUGCAGCCAUGCCGCGUGUAUGAAGAAGGCCUUCGGGUUGUAAAGUACUUUCAGUCGUGGAGGAAGGGUGUGUAGUUAAUAGCUGCAUGCCUUGACGUUAGCGACAGAAGAAGCACCGGCUAACUCCGUGCCAGCAGCCGCGGUAAUACGGAGGGUGCGAGCGUUAAUCGGAAUUACUGGGCGUAAAGCGCAUGCAGGCGGUCUGUUAAGCAAGAUGUGAAAGCCCGGGGCUCAACCUCGGAACCGCAUUUUGAACUGGCAGACUAGAGUCUUGUAGAGGGGGGUAGAAUUUCAGGUGUAGCGGUGAAAUGCGUAGAGAUCUGAAGGAAUACCGGUGGCGAAGGCGGCCCCCUGGACAAAGACUGACGCUCAGAUGCGAAAGCGUGGGGGAGCAAACAGGAUUAGAUACCCUGGUAGUCCACGCCGUAAACGAUGUCUACUUGAAGGUUGUGGCCUUGAGCCGUGGCUUUCGGAGCUAACGCGUUAAGUAGACC
rnacentral:rRNA from 1 species